GGAAAAUAUGACAUCUUAUGAUGAUUUGCAGAUGUCACAGGGUCAUGCUGAUAAUGCCAUAUGCCCAGCUGAUGCCAGGAG